rnacentral:rRNA from 1 species
UACGAAGGGGGCUAGCGUUGCUCGGAAUCACUGGGCGUAAAGCGCACGUAGGCGGCUUACUAAGUCAGGGGUGAAAUCCUGGAGCUCAACUCCAGAACUGCCUUUUGAUACUGGUGAGCUUGAGUCCGGAAGAGGUGAGUGGAACUGCGAGUGUAGAGGUGAAAUUCGUAGAUAUUCGCAAGAACACCAGUGGCGAAGGCGGCUCACUGGUCCGGUACUGACGCUGAGGUGCGAAAGCGUGGGGAGCAAACAGG